GCCGGGCGCGGUGGUGCGCGUCUGUAAUCCCAGCUACUCGGAAGGCUGAGCCCGGAGGAUUGCUUGAGUCCAGGAGUUCUGGGCUGCAGUGCGCUAUGCCGAUCGGGUGUCCGCACUAAAUUCGGCAUCAAUAUGGUGACCUCCCGGGAGCGGGGGGGGGGGACACCAGGUUGCCUAAGGAGGGGUGAAGCGGCCCAGGUCGGAAAUGGAGCAGGCCAAAACUCCUGUGCUGAUUAGAAGUGGUACAGCAGGUUUACAUGGUAAUUCAAUGUUUAAUAUUUGGAGGCAACUCCAUACUAGU
ensembl:misc_RNA Metazoa_SRP Metazoan signal recognition particle RNA